rnacentral:tRNA from 1 species
GGCCCGUUAGCCAAACGGUAAAGGCACCUGACUGUCUAUCAGGCAUGCAGGGGUUCGAUUCCCCUACGGGCCGCCA